rnacentral:rRNA from 1 species
GACGAACGCUGGCGGCGCGCCUAACACAUGCAAGUCGAACGAGCGAGAGAGAGCUUACUUUCUCGAGCGAGUGGCGAACGGGUGAGUAACGCGUGAGGAACCUGCCUCAAAGAGGGGGACAACAGUUGGAAACGACUGCUAAUACCGCAUAAGCCCACGGCUCGGCAUCGAGCAGAGGGAAAAGGAGCAAUCCGCUUUGAGAUGGCCUCGCGUCCGAUUAGCUAGUUGGUGAGGUAACGGCCCACCAAGGCGACGAUCGGUAGCCGGACUGAGAGGUUGAACGGCCACAUUGGGACUGAGACACGGCCCAGACUCCUACGGGAGGCAGCAGUGGGGAAUAUUGCACAAUGGGGGAAACCCUGAUGCAGCGACGCCGCGUGGAGGAGGAAGGUCUUCGGAUUGUAAACUCCUGUUGUUGAGGAAGAUAAUGACGGUACUCAACAAGGAAGUGACGGCUAACUACGUGCCAGCAGCCGCGGUAAAACGUAGGUCACAAGCGUUGUCCGGAAUUACUGGGUGUAAAGGGAGCGCAGGCGGGAAGACAAGUUGGAAGUGAAAUCCAUGGGCUCAACCCAUGAACUGCUUUCAAAACUGUUUUUCUUGAGUAGUGCAGAGGUAGGCGGAAUUCCCGGUGUAGCGGUGGAAUGCGUAGAUAUCGGGAGGAACACCAGUGGCGAAGGCGGCCUACUGGGCACCAACUGACGCUGAGGCUCGAAAGUGUGGGUAGCAAACAGGAUUAGAUACCCUGGUAGUCCACACUGUAAACGAUGAUUACUAGGUGUUGGAGGAUUGACCCCUUCAGUGCCGCAGUUAACACAAUAAGUAAUCCACCUGGGGAGUACGACCGCAAGGUUGAAACUCAAAGGAAUUGACGGGGGCCCGCACAAGCAGUGGAGUAUGUGGUUUAAUUCGACGCAACGCGAAGAACCUUACCAAGUCUUGACAUCCUGCGACGCACAUAGAAAUAUGUGUUUCCUUCGGGACGCAGAGACAGGUGGUGCAUGGUUGUCGUCAGCUCGUGUCGUGAGAUGUUGGGUUAAGUCCCGCAACGAGCGCAACCCUUAUGGUCAGUUACUACGCAAGAGGACUCUGGCCAGACUGCCGUUGACAAAACGGAGGAAGGUGGGGAUGACGUCAAAUCAUCAUGCCCUUUAUGACUUGGGCUACACACGUACUACAAUGGCGUUAAACAAAGAGAAGCAAGACCGCGAGGUGGAGCAAAACUCAGAAACAACGUCCCAGUUCGGACUGCAGGCUGCAACUCGCCUGCACGAAGUCGGAAUUGCUAGUAAUCGCAGAUCAGCAUGCUGCGGUGAAUACGUUCCCGGGCCU